CAGUCGCCGCGGGAAUACGUAGGGUGCGAGCGUUGUCCGGAAUUACUGGGCGUAAAGAGCUCGUAGGCGGUUUGUCGCGUCGUCUGUGAAAUUCUGCAGCUUAACUGUAGGCGUGCAGGCGAUACGGGCAGACUUGAGUACUACAGGGGAGACUGGAAUUCCUGGUGUAGCGGUGAAAUGCGCAGAUAUCAGGAGGAACACCGGUGGCGAAGGCGGGUCUCUGGGUAGUAACUGACGCUGAGGAGCGAAAGCGUGGGUAGCGAACAGGAUUAGAUACCCGAGUAGUCCCUGUCUCUUAUAC
rnacentral:rRNA from 1 species